rnacentral:rRNA from 1 species
UGGAUCCAGACUUUGAUUCUGGCACAGGACGAACGCUGGCGGCGCGCCUAACACAUGCAAGUCGAACGAGCGAGAGAGAGCUUGCUUUCUCGAGCGAGUGGCGAACGGGUGAGUAACGCGUGAGGAACCUGCCUCAAAGAGGGGGACAACAGUUGGAAACGACUGCUAAUACCGCAUAAGCCCACGGCUCGGCAUCGAGCAGAGGGAAAAGGAGCAAUCCGCUUUGAGAUGGCCUCGCGUCCGAUUAGCUGGUUGGUGAGGUAACGGCCCACCAAGGCGACGAUCGGUAGCCGGACUGAGAGGUUGAACGGCCACAUUGGGACUGAGACACGGCCCAGACUCCUACGGGAGGCAGCAGUGGGGAAUAUUGCACAAUGGGGGAAACCCUGAUGCAGCGACGCCGCGUGGAGGAAGAAGGUCUUCGGAUUGUAAACUCCUGUUGUUGAGGAAGAUAAUGACGGUACUCAACAAGGAAGUGACGGCUAACUACGUGCCAGCAGCCGCGGUAAAACGUAGGUCACAAGCGUUGUCCGGAAUUACUGGGUGUAAAGGGAGCGCAGGCGGGAAGACAAGUUGGAAGUGAAAUCCAUGGGCUCAACCCAUGAACUGCUUUCAAAACUGUUUUUCUUGAGUAGUGCAGAGGUAGGCGGAAUUCCCGGUGUAGCGGUGGAAUGCGUAGAUAUCGGGAGGAACACCAGUGGCGAAGGCGGCCUACUGGGCACCAACUGACGCUGAGGCUCGAAAGUGUGGGUAGCAAACAGGAUUAGAUACCCUGGUAGUCCACACUGUAAACGAUGAUUACUAGGUGUUGGAGGAUUGACCCCUUCAGUGCCGCAGUUAACAUAAUAAGUAAUCCACCUGGGGAGUACGACCGCAAGGUCAACUCAAAGGAAUUGACGGA